CAAAGUCAUGCCAAGAAGCUAGAAGUAACUCUUUCACAAUACCAGAGCGAUCUCGAUAAAAGGUUUGAGGAGAUUUGAGAACUAAAGGGUCAAGCACAUCGAAGUUUGGAAGAUAGGAACCAAUUGAAGGAUGAAGCUACUCAGUGGGAGAUCCACACCCGUCACCUGCAGUUUUUCCUGGAUUAGAAUGAGGCGUUUGUAUAUGAUCUCUUAAGCGGACUUAACCAUUCCCUAUUGUACAACUUAUCAAGGAUGCACAGUAUUGAA
rnacentral:lncRNA from 1 species